UUGUGGUGCGGCACGAAGACUUCAAAUGUAAAAUGGGUAAUAUUAGGGCAUCGUGUCGCGCAAUGCAUAGGCUAUGUGGCGACACGCCUGUGUUUUCAGCCGAAAUCGGGUCAUUUCAAGCAUAAAGCCUAUUGAAAUUCUAUUUAUAACCGCUGGUUUUAGGUAUAAGAAUACAUAAUCUAAAACACCUAAAAGAGAGAAAAAAAAUCCCUUUGGAACCACCACGCGUCUUCCCCACCAUUGAGCCUUGAUCUUUCGCACUUUUAACAUCUGAUUCACCUAAGUAAGUGUCCAUGCCCUUUUUUCAUUUUAGUUUUCAUACUACAUCGAUCAAGAAUCAAAGCUUGUCGAAAAUCACCCAAGAUUUGUGUAGGCCACUGGAUUUACAAAGAGAUGCUCAAAUGUGCACGACAUCGAAAGCAAAGUAUGUACUUCCCACAUCUGAUUACCGUCCUAUGUUACCAAGCUGACGUCCCCACGAAGAGCGUGAUUGGGGACAACUUGUACGACCAGUUUCUCGAGCUCCAACGCAAGCAAAAUCAGGAGGAGCAAAGAAAAAAGCAUAAGAACAGUUCCCAAGGGUCGAUGAAGAGGAAGGAAAAGCACAAACGUCAAGGAUGAUGGGCUUUACUGAUAUGUCGAUAUCGCAUUAGUAGACCCGUUCUAUGUAGGACAUAGAAGACAUUCUGAUUCGCAUCGCGAAACAGAAUAGGUGCCCUACACCAACACUUCUCCCUGACAUGCUCGAGAGGUUCCCACCACCAGACGAGGAGGGUGACGAUGAUGAUGAGGAGGAUACCCCUAUUGCACCAUCGGACUAUGAGUAGGUAUUUCGCCUAGACCACUCAUCAAUGAAAGGCAUGGUGAUCCGUAACUCGAGCUAACACAGCUCGACCCAGACUUCGGGAAGGCAGGAAAUGAGAGUGCUGGUGAGGCGCGAUAGGGGCAAGGCCCAGAUGAGGGAAGAGUCAGAAUCUGAGUCAGACUACUUUUAAACAUUUAUAUAUUUGGAUUUUUGUAUUAUAUUUUUAUUUGGAUGACUUUUAA